AUGAGAGCUGUCACUGAUUCUAGUUUGGUUUCCAAAGCUUUGAUCCCAAAGCCUGAGUUGAACUUUGGCAGAGCUAUGUUCAGCAGCUCUGAGAAUGGGCCCGAAAUGACAGAGAUGUGUUUGGACCUGGGUCCCUUCCUGUUCAGCACCAGCCCCAGCUGCACAGUGACAGCUGCUGCUCCCAGAGGAAAAUGGUUUUUGGGGUAUCUGAAACAAAGCACAAGCCCAGCCCAGUGCCAGCCCCUGCACCUGAACCCCAGCAGGGGAAGGAGGGGCUGGUUUGGGGGUUUGGAAGGUCCAGAGUGCCCCGGUGCAGCUGGACCUGGAGCCAUCCCUGCCCUGCCAGCAGCACCUGCAGAGCAGGAGUGGUGCCCGAGGAGCCCUGGGGUGCUGGGAAAGGCUGGGGGGGCAGGGGGCAGGGGGCAGUUAGGCUGGGCUAAGGGCUCCCUAACUGCCCUGGAUGGGGAACUGGGACCUGGCAACUGUCAGAACGGCCGAUGGAGCCCCGGCAGGUGGGUGGAGAAGGGGCAGCUCCCCCUGAGCCGGGCCCAGAGUGGGCCUGGGGGGGUGUGGGCUGUCUCGUGGGAAACGGUUCCCUUUGGAAACGAUGGGGCAUUCCCAGGGACUGCUCUGGAGCUGGCCUGGCAGGGAGCAGGGGCUCCUGGCCAUGCCAGGGAGGCCCAGGAGCUUGGACUGAGCCAGCAGUUCCCUUCUCACAUGUUCCCUCAACAGCAACCUUCCUCAAGAGCCCCUGAGGAGUGGCAAGAGGCAAAAAAACACGAAGAACGACCCCGGAGCGGCCUUGAAAAAGCAGGAAGCCCCGGAGAUGUGUCCGGGACAAGAGCAGAAACCGCGGCAGGCGGCGGCACGGGGACGUUCCCGAGCGCUCCGCUCCGCAUCCCUCUGUCCAGGCUCCGCGAAAUAGAAGAGGAGCUGCUGUGCGCGGAUGAGGCGGACAAUGAGUUCGAGUCUGGCGAGCCAGGGCCAGCGGCAGGGCCAGCAGCAGCGGCUCAGCCUCCCGGCCGAGCCCCAGCGCUGGGGGACAGCCGGGGCCUCGGCGCUGGCGCGGGGCUGCGGGCGGCGCUGCGGGAAGGCAGCGCUCGCCCCCCCCCCCCCCCCCCCCCCCCCCCCCCCCCCCCCCCCCCCCCCCCCCCCCCCCCCCCCC
rnacentral:lncRNA from 1 species